AGAGUUUGAUCCUGGCUCAGGAUGAACGCUGGCGGCGUGCCUAAUACAUGCAAGUCGAACGGAGAUUGUAGCAAUACGAUCUUAGUGGCGAACGGGCGAGUAACGCGUUGAUGACCUGCCCCGAAGUGUGGGAUAACAGUUCGAAAGGAUUGCUAAUACCGCACGUGAUCAUUGGGUUUUAGAAGCCGAUGAUUAAAGCAGAAAUUCGCUUCGGGAGGGAUCUACGUCCCAUCAGCUAGUGGGUAGGGUAACGGCCUACCAAGGCGACGACGGGUAGGGNGACCUGAGAGGGUGGACCCCCCGCACUGGCACUGAAACACGGGCCAGACACCUACGGGUGGGCAGCAGUAGGGAAUAUUGGUUAAUGGGCGAAAGCCCGAACCAGCAACGCCGCGUGCACGAUGAAGGCCUUCGGGUCGUAAAGUGCUUUUUGGAGGGAUGAGGAAGGACAGUACCUUCAGAAUAAGCCUCGGCUAACUACGUGCCAGCAGCCGCGGUAAAACGUAGGAGGCGAGCGUUAUCCGGAUUUACUGGGCGUAAAAGCGUGUGCAGGCGGUUUGGUUAGUUGGAUGUGAAAGCUCCUGGCUUAACUGGGAGAGGUCGUUCAAUACUGCCAGACUUGAGGAUGGGAGAGGAAGGUGGAAUUCCGNAGUGUAGUGGUGAAAUGCGUAGAUAUUCGGAGGAACACCAGAGGCGAAAGCGGGCCUUCUGGCCCAUCUCUGACGCUCAUACACGAAAGCUAGGGUAGCAAACGGGAUUAGAGACCCCGGUAGUCCUAGCUGUAAACGAUGUGGACUUGGCGUCGGCGGGUUUAAAUCCGUCGGUGCCGGAGCUAACGCGUUAAGUCCACCGCCUGGGGACUACGGCCGCAAGGUUAAAACUCAAAGGAAUUGACGG
rnacentral:rRNA from 1 species